GACGAACGCUGGCGGCGUGCCUAAUACAUGCAAGUUGAGCGACGAAGAUUGGUGCUUGCACCAAUUUGAAGAGCAGCGAACGGGUGAGUAACGCGUGGGGAAUCUGCCUUUGAGCGGGGGACAACAUUUGGAAACGAAUGCUAAUACCGCAUAACAACUUUAAACAUAAGUUUUAAGUUUGAAAGAUGCAAUUGCAUCACUCAAAGAUGAUCCCGCGUUGUAUUAGCUAGUUGGUGAGGUAAAGGCUCACCAAGGCGAUGAUACAUAGCCGACCUGAGAGGGUGAUCGGCCACAUUGGGACUGAGACACGGCCCAAACUCCUACGGGAGGCAGCAGUAGGGAAUCUUCGGCAAUGGACGAAAGUCUGACCGAGCAACGCCGCGUGAGUGAAGAAGGUUUUCGGAUCGUAAAACUCUGUUGGUAGAGAAGAACGUUGGUGAGAGUGGAAAGCUCAUCAAGUGACGGUAACUACCCAGAAAGGGACGGCUAACUACGUG
rnacentral:rRNA from 1 species